CCUCAAACAAAUAAACAAAAAAAUAUCAGAAUUAGAUACAAAGGAUAUAACAUAUGCAUGCAUAAUAAAAUUGUCGUAAUGAAUAUUAUAUUCUACUAAAUACAUUCUGAAAGUAUGAGCCAAUGAAUUGUUUAUUUGACUUUAAAAAGUCAAAAUUAAAUAUUUAAUUUGAGACAAAAAGAGCAUAAUUUAUUCGAAAUUACAAAUACCCAUUAAUAACAACACACAACAAAUAGAAUGAGAGGAAGAGAGAUGUGAAAAAACGGAAGGAAAGGCUCAAAUCUGUAAUAUAUUAGGCAAGAGGGUGACACCGCCAUGACUGCAACCAACAGUUGCAUGAGAGAGGAAUAAUAACCCAAUCAAAUCUCUUACAUACCCUCCGGGUUGCCCCGCCAAGAUACAAGUCACAUUCUCUCAUUGCCCGAUUUAACCCAGAAAAAUUGAUUCAUCAUUAUCAUAGCCUCUUCCAUAUAUGCCAUCUCUAAGCCAUUGUAAAAUAAGUCAUUGUUGAACAGACCCUAAGAAUAAGCUAUAAGCUGUUUUGAAUAAGCUGAAACAAACAAACAUGGCCUUAAACACUAACAAGGGCUGUUGAAUUGUAUUACACUGUAUAUACCCAUAAUAAAUUAAUGAAUUUCAUCAGAGAAGCAAUAUUGCAUCUUACCGAAAGAAAAUGACAACAGUCACAAGUCUACUAGUAUAAUAAAUGAUUUAAACUAUGUCUCACAAAAUUAAGUACAUAUAUAAUUUAGGUACAUAGUUCUAAUUUAGGUGCUUAACAUAUACAAAAUAAUUUCACCAUAUAGAUAAUUUAUACUUGGUUUUCAGAAAGAAGCAGAUUUCCACAACAACAAAAAAAUCGUAAUAAGACCUCAAAUAAUUUAGCAAAAAUAAGAAAAUAGAAGAAAAUAGAAAGUAGUGGUGAUGAAAUGUAUUACACUGCUUAUACCCAUAAUAAAUUAAUGAAUUCCAUCAGAGAAGCAAAAUUGCAUCUUACUGGAAAAAAAUGACAACAGUCACAAGUCUACUAGUAUAAUAAAUGAUUUAAACUAUGUCUCACAAAAUUAAGUACAUAUAUAUAUAAUUUAGGUACAUAGUUCUAAUUUAGGUGCUUAACAUAUACAAAAUAAUUUCACCAUACAGAUAAUUUUUACUUGAUUUUCAGAAAGAAGCAGAUUUCCACAACAACAAAAAAAUUGUAAUAAGACCUCAAAUAAUUUAGCAAAAACAAGAAAAUAGAAAGUAGUGGUGAUGAAAUGUAUUACACUGCCUAUACCUAUAAUAAAUUAAUGAAUUCCAGAAAACUAAGUUUCUAUCAGAUAUUUUGUCAAACAUACAGCAAGACGCAAAUCAGUAUACGAGGUAUACAUAUUAACAUAUGAAUUAAGGCAUUACAAACAUAAAGAUAUGAUUCAAACCCAAGUUUCAGAACAUGUUCUGUAGCAUAUGCAAUUUAAAAAUCAAAAUCAAAUCCAAAUGGUGUUAAGAAACUAAAAUUACAUAGAAAAGUAUAUACUUGAAGCCUCAAAGUGUUCCAUUGAAUUGAAUAAUAUCAAAUUGAAACUUGAAAGCUAUAAAUUAGGGUUCUAAUUUUACAGAUUGGGGAUUUUUGGUAUAACAGAAUUAAUUUGACUUUGAUUUUUGGAUCAGAGAAGACGUGAAAUUGGGGGAUUGGGCCAUGGCUGGAUAAGAAAUAUUAAAGCUAUACAUAUAUAUAGAUUACUUGAGUGAAAGAGAAGAUUAGAAGAAGAAAAUAUGAAAGAACUGACUUACACAACGCAUCGAUCUUCUUUUGUGGUGGGAUGAUUCAGUUUUUAGCAUCAAAUCUCACCCCCUCGAGGCUCGAGACUAGAUUUCUCUAUAAACGAAGCGACUAAACCGAACUCUGAAGUCUCAAGAGACGAAAGGAACAGAGGGUAGAAAACCAAACGCUGAAACGCGUAACGGCUAAAGCCUUUUCCACUCCCUUAUCAGAUGACAGAUAUUAAGGAUCAACUACGUACGAACCUGAAACGAGUAGGUUUAUCGAGUAUGGAUCGAGUAUGGCUCAAACGAUAGAGGAAAGCUCGAACCCUAAAAUGAG
rnacentral:lncRNA from 1 species